rnacentral:lncRNA from 1 species
CUCUUAGAAGUCACUAUGGUGACGGGGAGGUACCAGGUAUUUGAGAGCAAUCGCCACCGCUUUCCUGGAACUUGAGGUAAAUUUCAUCUGAUUUCCAAGUUAGGAAGAGUGGAAAAAAGUGUAGAAGCUCACUGUGGAGCAGUACUUGCAGGAAGAUGGAAUUAUGAAGGAACAGCAUUAGUUACAGUUGGAGAAGAUGGACAAAUAAAAAUUUGGUCAAAGACUGGGAUGCUUAGAUCAACUUUAGCUCAGCAAGUGGAAAGCUCAUGAUGGCAUUAUUUUAAAAGUAGAUUGGAACUCGGUCAAUGAUCUUAUUUUAUCUGCUGGUGAAGACUGUAAAUAUAAGGUAUGGGAUAGUUACGGCCGCCCACUGUACAAUUCACAACCUCAUGAGCAUCCCAUUACUUCAGUUGCCUGGGCUCCAGAUGGAGAAUUAUUUGCUGUUGGAUCGUUUCAUACUUUACGCUUGUGUGAUAAAACUGGGUGGUCAUAUGCAUUAGAAAAACCCAACACUGGCAGCAUAUUUAAUAUUGCAUGGUCUAUCGAUGGCACUCAGAUUGCUGGAGCCUGUGGAAAUGGACAUGUCGUUUU